AUUGAACGCUGGCGGCAUGCCUUACACAUGCAAGUCGAACGGCAGCAUGGAAGAGCUUGCUCUUCUGAUGGCGAGUGGCGAACGGGUGAGUAAAGCAUCGGAACGUACCGUGUAGUGGGGGAUAACGUAGCGAAAGUUACGCUAAUACCGCAUACGCACUGAGGUGGAAAGCAGGGGAUCGCAAGACCUUGCGCUAUACGAGCGGCCGAUGUCGGAUUAGCUAGUUGGUAGGGUAAAGGCCUACCAAGGCGACGAUCUGUAGCGGGUCUGAGAGGAUGAUCCGCCACACUGGGACUGAGACACGGCCCAGACUCCUACGGGAGGCAGCAGUGGGGAAUUUUGGACAAUGGGCGAAAGCCUGAUCCAGCCAUGCCGCGUGAGUGAAGAAGGCCUUCGGGUUGUAAAGCUCUUUCGGCUGGGAAGAAAUCGCACAGGCUAAUACUCUGUGUGGAUGACGGUACCAGCACAAGAAGCACCGGCUAACUACGUGCCAGCAGCCGCCGUAA
rnacentral:rRNA from 1 species